rfam:Heligmosomoides polygyrus genome assembly, scaffold: HPBE_scaffold0004142
GCGCCGGUGGUGUAAUGGCGUAGAGCAUUCCCGCCUGGUCAGAGGGAGGUGCGGGUUCGAGUCCCGCCCGGCGCU